UAUUUUGAGAAUUUGAUCCUGGUUCAGAUUGAAUGCUGACGGCGUGGAUGAGGCAUGCAAGUCGAACGAAGUUUCGGGUUCGCCCGAAACUUAGUGGCGGAAGGGUUAGUAAUACAUGGGUAACUCACACUCGACCCGGGAAUAACAACUGGAAACGGUUGAUAAUACCGGAUGAGGUGAAUUGAGGCAUCUCAAAAUCAUCAAAGCGGGGGUAACCUCGCGGUUGAGAAGAGGCCCAUGCGAUAUCAGCUAGUUGGGGUGGUAACGGCACACCAAGGCUAAGACGUCUAGGCGGGUUGAGAGAUUGACCGCCAACACUGGGACUGAGACACUGCCCAGACUUCUACGGAAGGCUGCAGUCGAGAAUCAUUCGCAAUGGGCGAAAGCCUGACGAUGCGACGCCGUGUGAACGAUGAAGGCCCUCGGGUCGUAAAGUUCUUUCGCCUGGGAACAAGAGAGAUCGGUAAAUAAUCGGUCGAUUUGAGGGUACCAGGUAAAGAAGCACCGGCUAACUCCGUGCCAGCAGCUGCGGUAAUACGGAGGGUGCAAGCAUUAAUCGGAUUUAUUGGGCGUAAAGGGCGCGUAGGCGG
rnacentral:rRNA from 1 species